rnacentral:rRNA from 1 species
AUUGAACGCUGGCGGCAUGCUUUACACAUGCAAGUCGAACGGUAACAGGCCUUCGGGUGCUGACGAGUGGCGAACGGGUGAGUAAUGCAUCGGAACGUACCCAGAGGUGGGGGAUAACGCAGCGAAAGCUGUGCUAAUACCGCAUGUGAUCUGAGGAUGAAAGCGGGGGACCGAGCAGCAAUGUUUUGCCUCGCGCCUUUGGAGCGGCCGAUGUCGGAUUAGCUAGUUGGUGGGGUAAAGGCCUACCAAGGCGACGAUCCGUAGCUGGUCUGAGAGGACGACCAGCCACACUGGGACUGAGACACGGCCCAGACUCCUACGGGAGGCAGCAGUGGGGAAUUUUGGACAAUGGGCGCAAGCCUGAUCCAGCAAUGCCGCGUGCGGGAAGAAGGCCUUCGGGUUGUAAACCGCUUUUGGCAGGAACGAAACGGUGUCCGCUAAUACCGGGCGCUAAUGACGGUACCUGCAGAAUAAGCACCGGCUAACUACGUG